rnacentral:rRNA from 1 species
GAGAGAGACAUGCGCGCAUAUCAAUAAGCGGAGGAAAAGAAACUAACAAGGAUUCCCUUAGUAACGGCGAGUGAAGCGGGAAGAGCUCAAAUUUGAAAUCUUCAAGGUUUUACCUUGACGAAUUGUAGUUUAAAGAAGUGUUUUCUGCUGAAGUUUUGGUAAAAGUUCUUUGGAAUAGGACAUCAUAGAGGGUGAGAAUCCCGUAUUUGACCAUUAUUUUCAGCUUUGUGAUACACUUUCGAAGAGUCGGAUUGUUUGGGAAUGCAGUCCAAAAUGGGUGGUAAAUCUCAUCUAAAGCUAAAUAUUGGCGAGAGACCGAUAGCGAACAAGUACCGUGAGGGAAAGAUGAAAAGAACUUUGAAAAGAGAGUUAAACAGUACGUGAAAUUGUCAAAAGGGAAGCGUUUGACACCAGUGUUGUUUUCUCGAAAAUCAAUUAAGAAUGGCUCGAUUUUGUAUUGCUUGAGACCUUAAAAGCUCACUGUACAUUUUUCGUGUCUUUUUUAAUGCACUUUUCGUUUAACAAGUCAACAUCAGUUUCUUUUGUUGUAAAAGGGUCAUUGGAAGGUGGCUUUCUUUUCGGAGAAAGUGUUUAUAGCCUUUGGCCUCUGCAAUCGAAGAGACUGAGGUCUGCAGCGUAGACUCUUCGGGGUUAGAUACAUUUGUGCUAAGUUAUAGCUUUUUAUAGACAACUUGUUGACUAUAAUUAGUCUUGUAGCUUACUCGCUUAUGCUAUUUUACCUACGCUUAGGAUGUUGAAGAUGUAGCACAUCAU